rnacentral:rRNA from 1 species
UACGAAGGGGGCUAGCGUUGCUCGGAAUCACUGGGCGUAAAGGGUGCGUAGGCGGGUCUUUAAGUCAGGGGUGAAAUCCUGGAGCUCAACUCCAGAACUGCCUUUGAUACUGAGGAUCUUGAGUUCGGGAGAGGUGAGUGGAACUGCGAGUGUAGAGGUGAAAUUCGUAGAUAUUCGCAAGAACACCAGUGGCGAAGGCGGCUCACUGGCCCGAUACCUGACGCUGAGGCACGAAAGCGUGGGGAGCAAACAGGG